AAGAAAACCAGCAAAGACUGAAGCGCGGAAGAAGGAACUACCAUGAGCGCGCAGCACCGAGGAUGGGUACGCCCAUCUGUGAAGAAGAUGGAAAUGUUCAUGGCUCUAGAGAAAAAGAACAGAGCCAUCCUGGUGAAGAGCAGCA
rnacentral:lncRNA from 1 species